rnacentral:rRNA from 1 species
GACGAACGCUGGCGGCGUGCUUAACACAUGCAAGUCGAACGGUGAACCUCUUCGGAGGGGAUCAGUGGCGAACGGGUGAGUAACACGUGGGCAACCUGCCCCCGGCUCUGGGAUAACUCCAAGAAAUUGGGGCUAAUACCGGAUGUUCACCGCUUCCCGCAUGGGUGGUGGUGGAAAGGGUUUCCGGCUGGGGAUGGGCCCGCGGCCUAUCCGCUUGUUGGUGGGGUAGUGGCCUACCAAGGCGACGACGGGUAGCCGGCCUGAGUGGGUGACCGGCCACACUGGGACUGAGACACGGCCCAGACUCCUACGGGAGGCAGCAGUGGGGAAUAUUGCGCGAUGGGCGGAAGCCUGACGCAGCGACGCCGCGUGGGGGAUGACGGCCUUCGGGUUGUAAACCUCUUUCAGCAGGGACGAAGCGCAAGUGACGGUACCUGCAGAAGAAGCACCGGCCAACUACGUG